UGAGCAUUUCCUUACUUUUUGGGACCAGAAGUUUCAGGCUCAUCUUGUGCUUUCUCGGUUGCAGGCCUGCAAUGACCAUUUUGUAAGUGGCCCUGUCUUCUCUUAGAGGAGAAUGACAUAGAAAGAAACGCCUCCAUGCUAAGUAUGCUCGUUGCUAUUGGAGUUCCAUUGCUUCCAGGUCCUCUAACUAAGGCACCCAUCUUCCGCUGACUUUGGACAUCAGAGCUCCAGGUUCUCUCUCCUAGAACUGAGACACCCAUCUGCUGCUGCCUGUGGACAUCAGAACUCCAGGUUCUCUCUGUUAGAACUGAGACGCCCAUCUUCUGAUGCUUUUGGACAUCAGAGUUCCAGAUUAUCUCUCCUAGACCUCAGACAUACAUCUGCUGCUGCCUUUGGACAUCAGAACUCCAGGUUCUCUCUCGUAGAACUGAGACACCCAUCUUCUGAUGCCUUUGGACAUCAGAACUCCAGAUUCUGUUUUCUAGACCUGAGACACCCAUCUGCUGCUGCCUUUGGACAUCAGAACUCCAGGUUCUCUCACGUAGAACCGAGGCACCCAUCUUCUGCUGCCUUUGGACAUCAGAACUCCAGAUUCUCAGGCCUUUGUACUCUAGGAUGUGUAGCAGCAACCCCUGCCCCAGGUUUUCAGGCCUUUGGCCUCAGACUUCAAGCUACACCUCUGGCUUCUCUGGUUCUGAGGCUUUUGGACUUGGACUGAGCCAUGCUGCAGGCAUCCCUGGGUCUCCAGCUUGCAUAUGGCCUGUUGUAGGACUUCUCAGCCUCCAUAAUCAUCUCCCCAGUGAAGCAUGGCCUUGUGCACCAUAAGCAGAUUUGAAGUUUAAGAAGAUGACUCUAGAUGUUCCACGGAGAAUGUUAGGAGUGAGAAUGGCCAUGGGAAGACCCACUGGGAGGCUGUUGAGUUGCCCAGAUGGAGUCUUGCUCUGUUGCCCAGGGUGAAG
rnacentral:lncRNA from 1 species